GAUUCGUCACACUAUCAUUAACUGAAUCCAUAGGUUAAUGAGGCGAACCGGGGGAACUGAAACAUCUAAGUACCCCGAGGAAAAGAAAUCAACCGAGAUUCCCCCAGUAGCGGCGAGCGAACGGGGAGGAGCCCAGAGCCUGAAUCAGCAUGUGUGUUAGUGGAAGCGUCUGGAAAGGCGCGCGAUACAGGGUGACAGCCCCGUACACAAAAGCGCAUGUGCUGUGAGCUCGAUGAGUAGGGCGGGACACGUGGUAUCCUGUCUGAAUAUGGGGGGACCAUCCUCCAAGGCUAAAUACUCCUGACUGACCGAUAGUGAACCAGUACCGUGAGGGAAAGGCGAAAAGAACCCCGGCGAGGGGAGUGAAAAAGAACCUGAAACCGUGU
rnacentral:rRNA from 5 species